rnacentral:lncRNA from 1 species
UGAGAAGGGCUAUAGUCGAAGCACAAACUGUUUCCUAAACAAAAAACUCCUAACCCCAAGUGAGCUGGGUGUUAGGGUAAGGGUGAGGUUAGGAAUAGGUUUCUGUGCAAAGGAGCCCCUGAGCUACUUCUGAAAGAAGAAACUUAAUUUAGAUUAGUGACCAAGGGGAGGAAGAGCUUUCUAGGAAAAAGGACCAACAAAUGCCAAUGAUUGCAGAUAAAUGUGUUUUCUUUUUGGGGAAUACAAAUAGAAUUCACUACUUGACCAAGGUCACAUCACUAGGAAAGGAAGGAGCGAAGCAUCAAAUCUAGAUGCAGAUUUAAAUGCAUACACUAUAUAUAGACACAUAUGCUCAUAUGUGUUAUAUGCACCUCCCUCAAUCCCAAUCUCUAGUAACCACCAUCAUUCUACACUCUACCUCUGUAAGUUCAACAUUUUUAGAUACCACAUGUACGUGAGAUCAGUUGAUCCUGCACCAGAGCAGCUGCUGAGAAGAGUAAAUUCAGGGCCACUGUCUUCCAGACCCCAGAACGAUAGAUCCACCAACAGCUUGCACUAUAUGCCUGGAAAAGCCACAGACACUGUAUGCCAGCCCGUGAAAGCAGCCAGGAGGGAGGCUAUACCCUGCAAAGCCACAGGGGCAGAGCUGCCAUGGGAACCCACCUCUCACAUCAGCGUGACCUGGAUGUGAGACAUGGAGUCAAAGGAAAUCAUUUUGGAGCUUUAAGAUUUUACUGCCCUGCUGGAUAUUGGACUUGCCCGGGGCCUGUACCCCCUUCGUUUUGGUCAAUUUCUCCCAUUUGGAAUCUCCGUAUUUACCCAAUACCUGUACCCCUGUUGUAUCUAGGAAAUAACUAGCUAGCUUUUGAUUUUACAGGCUUAUAGGUGGAAGGGACUUGCCUUGUCUUAGAUGAUACUUUAAACUGUGGACUUUUGAGUUAGUGAGUUAAGACUUUGGGGGACUGUUGGGAAGGCAUGAUUGGUUUUGAAAUGUGAGGACAUGAGAUUUGGGAAGGACCAGGGGUGGAAUAAUGUGGUUUGGCUGUGUCCCAAACCAAAUCUUAUUUUGAAUUGUAACUCCCACAAUUUCCACAUGUCAUAGGAGGGACCCAGUGGGAGGUGAUUGAAUUUUGGGGGCAGGUCUUUCCUGUGCUGUUCUCAUGAUAAUGAAUGGGUCUCACAAGAUCUGAUGUUUUUAACUAUGGGAGUUUGUCUCCACAAGCUCUCUCUUUGCCUGCUGCCAUCCACGUAAGACGUGACUUGCUCCUCCUUGCCUUCCAUCCUGAUUGUCAGGCCUCCCCAGCCAUGCAGAAUUGUAAGUCCAAUAAACCUCUUUCUUUUGUAAAUUUCCCAGUCUUGGGUAUGCCUUUAUCAGCAGCAUGAAAACGGACUAAUACAGUCCUAAUACCACAGCUAAUAUUUAAUUUUCAAAAUACCCACACAACAUGGAUAUUACUAUGUUUUCUGUUUUGCAGUUGAGGAAAAUAAGCUUUAGGAGACAGAAUGAGGAAAUGAUGAAGCUGGGUUUCCACCCAAGCCAUCUGCCUCCAUAGCCUUUGUGCUUAACCUCUAUGUCUAUUGAAAUCCAUGGAGGCAUGCUAGGAAAGGAUCCCUGUGUCUGCAACCCUUCACUUCUGUUUUUCAGUUUUUGGACAUCUGUCUAUGAGCCAGGGCUUCCAGAACCUCCAGUGGUUACUUGGACCCUCAGUUAAGCAUUGCAAUUACUCUUCCUCCUACAAAAAUUAAAAGGAGAAUAAGCAUAGUUGCAGAAGAGCAGGUUUGUCCUCAUGCCUCAGAAUGAAAACUAUCUCUGUUCUUUCUCUAAAUACAGUUGCAGUUUGGCUGUGUAGCACUCCAUCACUUCCAGGAGUCUUUGCCCACCAUGGACCUGAAACUGAAGUCACAAGCAUCCAAGUGUUCCUGCCCAAGUGGGGCUCCAGAGAGCUAAUUUUUCUUCAGAGGGAGUUGGGUAGUGCAUCUGUGGUUUUUGUCUGACCAUCAUUCAUUCUCCUUUUUUUAAUCACAGUGCCGAUUUAUUUAGAAGGAACACUCCUCUCUAUUCUCAGUCCAUAUGACUUAAUUAGCACUGAUCCCAUAGGCUAGCUUGGAGUAUGAGUACAUAACCUGGUUUAGACUGGUCAGUCUUGGGAAUUUUGCUAAAAUUUGGGGAGAAUAUGGGUAUCUUUUCCAUAGGGUCUCUAGAAUAUGUUUCUGGGACUGCUAAUGGCCAUCUUCUUGCCCGUCUGCCCAAGAAUGAAGAAAACUAGGAGGAGAACAGACUCAAGGGUUGCAAAUGGCCAUAAUCCUGAUGUUGUUUGAGUACAUGUACCCAACUGUGCUUGAA